GCUUACGGCCAUACCACCUUAGGCACGCCCGAUCUCGUCUGAUCUCGGAAGCUAAGCAGGGUCGGGCCUGGUUAGUACUUGGAUGGUGACCGCCUGGGAAUACCAGGUGCUGUAAGCA
ensembl:rRNA 5S_rRNA 5S ribosomal RNA